ACUGAAAAUUAUUAAGAAAUCGAAAUUACCCAGUAGGGAAGAUGGUAAUAGAGAAGAUGACGCAAAAUAUAUAACUGAAGCUGGUAUAAAUCUUGUACAGGACAUUAGAGCAACCAAUGCAGGAAAGUAUGCACUUCAAUUAAUGGAUAUCAUCUUUACCGAUGAAGAAAUGGCAUCAUCCAUUUAUGAAGAAUCAACGAAAUCAAAAAAACCUGGGUUAGACCGUAAGAGAGUGGCAUUUUUAGAAGAUUGCAUCAAAAAGAAGUUUGGUGAAGCCACAUUUCAAGAGCAGAGCUCAGCAAUAAAGAAGAAGUGCACUCAGAAAUGUAUUGAUAAGCAACGCAGUAAAAGGUCUGAAGUCUAGUAAUGUUUAACUCAUUUCAACAUCAUUUAACUCAUUAUUUACUCAUUAAUUUUCACGUGUGAUAAUUUGGUUCAAGAAAUGUUUUUUAAGUGUUAAAAAUAUAA